rnacentral:tRNA from 1 species
GUCAAGGAAAGUGGUGCUUUUCGGAUUCCUAAUCCGUAGGUCAGGCGUUCGAAUCGCCUCGGGGGCACCA